ACGAACGCUGGCGGCGCGCCUAACACAUGCAAGUCGAACGAGAGAGAGGGAGCUUGCUUCCUUGAUCGAGUGGCGAACGGGUGAGUAACGCGUGAGGAACCUGCCUCAAAGAGGGGGACAACAGUUGGAAACGACUGCUAAUACCGCAUAAGCCCACGACCCGGCAUCGGGAAGAGGGAAAAGGAGCAAUCCGCUUUGAGAUGGCCUCGCGUCCGAUUAGCUAGUUGGUGAGGUAACGGCCCACCAAGGCGACGAUCGGGAGCCGGACUGGGAGGUUGAACGGCCACAUUGGGACUGAGACACGGCCCAGACUCCUACUGGAGGCAGCAGUGGGGAAUAUUGCACAAUGGGGGAAACCCUGAUGCAGCGACGCCGCGUGGAGGAAGAAGGUCUUCGGAUUGUAAACUCCUGUUGUUGAGGAAGAUAAUGACGGUACUCAACAAGGAAGUGACGGCUAACUACGUGCCAGCAGCCGCCGUAA
rnacentral:rRNA from 1 species